UGAGGAAUAUUGCACAAUGGGGGAAACCCUGAUGCAGCGACGCCGCGUGGGUGAUGAAGGCUUUCGGGUCGUAAACCCUUUUUGUGUGACGAGUAAGGACGGUAGCACAAGAAUAAGCCUCGGCUAACUACGUGCCAGCAGCCGCGGUAAAACGUAGGAGGCGAGCGUUAUCCGGAGUUACUGGGCGUAAAGCGCGUGUAGGUGGCUUUCUACGUCUGCUGUGAAAUAUCCCGGCUUAACCGGGAGGAUGCGGCAGAUACGGGAGGGCUGGAGGGCGACAGAGGAGCGUAGAAUUCCGGGUGUAGUGGUGAAAUGCGUAGAGAUCCGGAGGAAUACCAGUGGCGCAAGCGGCGCUCUGGGUCGCACCUGACACUGAGACGCGAAGGCAUGGGGGAGCGAACGGGAUUAGAAACCCCGGUAGUCCAUGCAGUAAACGAUGCCGACUGGGUGUGGGAGGUGAACACCUUCUGUGCCGAAGCCAACGCGCUAAGUCGGCCGCCU
rnacentral:rRNA from 1 species